rnacentral:rRNA from 1 species
AUGACCGCUCUCGACUUCGUGCCCGCCGAGAAGGCCCCCAUAGCCGACACCGUCGCUCUCGGCACCGUCACCAACAAUGCCGUCGCCGCUUCCGCCGUGCUGGUGCAGCAGCAGCAGCACAGGAGGCUGGAGGGGAAGGUGGCCAUCGUCACCGGCGGGGCCCGCGGGAUCGGCGAAGCGAUUGUGCGCGCGUUCGUUCGUCAAGGCGCGCGGGUGGUGAUCGCCGACAUCGACGGCGCGGCCGGGGAGGCGCUGGUGGCCGCGCUGGGCGGCGCCUGCUGCAGCUAUGUGCACUGCGACGUGUCGGUGGAGGCUGACGUGGAGCGCGCCGUCGGGUGCUGCGUGGCGCGGCACGGGAGGCUGGACGUCCUCUGCAACAACGCCGGCGUGCUGGGCCGGCAGGCGCCCCCGGCGGGCAACGGCGCCAGGAGCGGCGGCAUCGCGUCCCUCGACGCCACUGAGUUCGACCGCGUGCUGCGCGUGAACACGCUGGGCGCGGCGCUCGGCAUGAAGCACGCGGCGCGGGCCAUGCUGCAGAGCCGCGGCGGAGGCGGCAGCAUCGUGUCGGUGGCGAGCGUGGCCGGCGUGCUCGGCGGGAUGGGCCCGCACGCGUACACGGCGUCGAAGCACGCGCUGGUGGGGCUGACCAAGAACGCGGCCUGCGAGCUCGGGGAGCACGGCAUCCGGGUGAACUGCGUGUCCCCCUUCGGCGUGGCCACGCCAAUGCUGGUGAACGCGUGGCGCCAUGGCGCGGACGAAGAAGGGGGCUCGCCGGCGCCGGUGAGCGCGGAGGAGGUGGAGAAGGCGGAGGAGAUGGUGCGGGGCAUGGCGACGCUCAAGGGCCCGACGCUGAGAGCCGGGGACAUCGCGGAGGCGGCGCUGUUCCUGGCCAGCGACGAGUCGAGGUACAUCUCCGGGCACAACCUCGUCGUUGACGGCGGCGCCACCACCUCCAAGAACGUCAUCGGGCUGUGA